rnacentral:rRNA from 1 species
GACGAACGCUGGAGGCGUGCUUAACACAUGCAAGUCGAACGAUGAAGUGGAGCUUGCUCCACGGAUUAGUGGCGAACGGGUGAGUAACACGUGAAUAACCUGCCCUCAAUUUCGGAAUAACCCAGGGAAACCUGGGCUAAUACCGGAUACGUAAACCUGUGGCAUCACAUGGUUUUGGAAAGUUUUUCGAUUGAGGAUGGAUUCGCGGCCUAUCAGCUUGUUGGUGAGGUAAUGGCUCACCAAGGCGACGACGGGUAGCCGGCCUGAGAGGGUGAACGGCCACACUGGGACUGAGACACGGCCCAGACUCCUACGGGAGGCAGCAGUGGGGAAUAUUGGACAAUGGGCGAAAGCCUGAUCCAGCAAUGCCGCGUGAGUGAUGAAGGCCUUAGGGUUGUAAAGCUCUUUUACCAGGGAUGAUAAUGACAGUACCUGGAGAAUAAGCUCCGGCUAACUCCGUG